GGAAGCGUGCCCGAGACUCAAGGAGUACUUUGAUAGAGUACCACACAGAGAUUAGCCCCUCUCCCUUCCU
rnacentral:tRNA from 1 species